GACGAACGCUGGCGGCGUGCUUAACACAUGCAAGUCGAACGGAAAGGCCCUGCUUUUGUGGGGUGCUCGAGUGGCGAACGGGUGAGUAGCACGUGAGUAACCUGCCCUUGACUUUGGGAUAACUUCAGGAAACUGGGGCUAAUACCGGAUAGGAGCUCCUGCUGCAUGGUGGGGGUUGGAAAGUUUCGGCGGUUGGGGAUGGACUCGCGGCUUAUCAGCUUGUUGGUGGGGUAGUGGCUUACCAAGGCCUUGACGGGUAGCCGGCCUGAGAGGGUGACCGGCCACAUUGGGACUGAGAUACGGCCCAGACUCCUACGGGAGGCAGCAGUGGGGAAUAUUGCACAAUGGGCGGAAGCCUGAUGCAGCAACGCCGCGUGCGGGAUGACGGCCUUCGGGUUGUAAACCGCUUUCGCCUGUGACGAAGCGUGAGUGACGGUAAUGGGUAAAGAAGCACCGGCUAACUACGUG
rnacentral:rRNA from 1 species